rnacentral:rRNA from 1 species
GAUGAACGCUGGCGGCGUGCUUAACACAUGCAAGUCGAACGGAAAGGCUCCUGCUUGCAGGGGUACUCGAGUGGCGAACGGGUGAGUAACACGUGGGUGAUCUGCCCUGCACUUCGGGAUAAGCCUUGGAAACUGGGUCUAAUACCGGAUAGGACGAUGGUUUGGAUGCCAUUGUGGAAAGUUUUUCGGUGUGGGUUGAGCUCGCGGCCUAUCAGCUUGUUGGUGGGGUAAUGGCCUACCAAGGCGUCGACGGGUAGCCGGCCUGAGAGGGUGUACGGCCACAUUGGGACUGAGAUACGGCCCAGACUCCUACGGGAGGCAGCAGUGGGGAAGAUUGAACAAUGGGCGCAAGCCUGAUGCAGCGACGCCGCGGGGGGGAUGACGGCCUUCGGGUUGUAAACUCCGUUCGCUAGGGACGAAGCGUUUUGUGACGGUACCUGGAGAAGAAGCACCGGCUAACUACGUG